rnacentral:rRNA from 1 species
AUGCCUAUGCGCUUUCCAUAUAUUGAUCUUUGCUUAGUUACUUUUUCGUUGCCACUAUUACAAUUACUACAAAACUGCUACUGUUACUUUUGCUAUCGUUACUGCUACUAUCAUAUUACUUUGCUAAUAAAUACUUUACUGCAGAUAUUAAGUCUUUCAGGUGCGGUUGAAUUGACAACUCAACUGUUAAUACUUGAGAAUAUUCUUUGGCUCCCCUUGUGUCGAAUCAAUAAAUUUGGGUUGAAUACUCUACCCUCGAAAACUGUUGCGAUCUCCUAUACUUGUGGGUUAUCAAGACUAUUUUCUGGCGCCUUUUCCGGGGAGCAUAGCUCUAUUCUUUGA